UUUCCUCCGCUAUUAAUAGGGUUCACGGCGUGUGAACCUAUACUUUGGUUAAUUCAUCGAUACUGCAUUCUGAUCAAAUGUGGUACUGUGAUGAUAAUCUUUAUGGGAGGAAGGAGACGUCCUUCCGUUAUGACCAUAUUGUCAUCAUGGAACUUUCGUUCUGAUGGAUUUUCUCUGUAUGGGUGAGCCUUUCUAAGUUUUAUCUUUUAAACGGCAUUGCCUUGUCUCCUAAGAUGGAUAAGUCCUUCUUGUGAUGCACCGUUAGCUUGUGAUGCACCGUUAGGGUGCACACUCAUGUGAAGGGUUUGGAACACCUCAAACCUGGAUGGAUGCAAGCAUCACCCUUUGGUAAGGUGGUGUUUUCAUUUGUGCGUUACUUGAAGGUCUGUCGGAAAUUCUCAUGCUCUAGCACUUUGUUUGCGUUAAAAGGGGUGAGUUUUAUUUGAAGUUAAGAAAGAAAAGGAAUAAACAAUUCUGGUCACAAUACUAUUACCGUGACACCUUCUUUUCUUCUUUUAGAAUUCACCUCCUUUUAGUGCAAUCCUAGUGUUCGGGGUGAGGGUUAAAGACUAGAUCCACGGAGCACUGUGCUCCUAGGGAAUUCUAGAAAUUAACUACUUCUAGAACGGAACACAUAAGACUAUGUAUACAAUACAAGGAAAGGAAAAAGGUCUCUUAGGGGUACCACAAAGAAAAGAAUCAAAAUAGCUAAAAAGAGUCUGCUUCCUUUAUCAUAUAUAUGAGAUAGUAGAUCACCUUUUUUUUUUGAAGCAAAAAAAAAGGUGAUCUACUGUUGUAGUCUUCUUGACAUAUCAAGUCAAGAGGGCGAGGCUCCUAGCAAUGGGGGGAAAGGGGAGUGGGUAAGCGGGCUCCUUUCACUUGACUGGUUAGUUAGGAGUGAUCUUUUUUCUACGAUGUUCGAGAUCUUUGUCUCGCAGAGGGUGAAAUGAGAUCUUCUUGGAACAAGGUCAGAGGCGUUGGACGGACCAGUUUCUUCUGAUUCCAAUGAUAGAUGGAUGGUCAGGUCGGUAACAUAUGGAUGGAGGACUUCUACAGGGUCUUCUCGUGCGCUCGACUAGCAAGGUGGUUUUGUAGGCGAACGAAAUAAGUUUUUGGAGGCGAGCGGAGUGAGGCAAUGAAAUUGUUUAGGCGAAAGAAAGGAGAGAACGAGUGGAGUUUCGAGAAUGAGAAUCAUAUAUUUUCUCAUUUCUUUUUCGUAGUAAGAAGACACUAAGACGCACCCACUACACACCACACACUCAGACGACUAGCGUGGUCCUUCCCCCAUCGAAGAGCCACGUAUCCAGGGUUGACCACAUCAUCACUGUUUUAUCAAGGUGUGGCCACGGUCUCAAUUGGGUCAUUGUUUAGUAUGCCCAAGCUUGACAAUAGCUGUGGAUAUUUUGAGUCCCUCAGAACGCAACUCCCUUAUGAGUUGGAAGCCAAGACAAAUGGAUUCCACUUCAUAGGUACCGUUCACCUCACGUGAAGGCUCGCUCAGAACACGUACCAAGCUUUUAUUAGAAAGGAACAGAACAAAGAGGAGUGCUCCACUCCGAAAGAGAAGGAACGGAAAGAGCAGGCGGCAGAGAAAGAGACAAGGAGGAAGAAGGGGGCACUACGGGAAGAGCAUCCAAGACGCGCUAAGGCAAAGGCAUAGAGCUCAAACACAGGCUUAGUAAGCACAGAUUCCCUAGAAAGAAAGAUAAUUCUAGAAAUUAACUACUUCUAGAACGGAACACAUAAGACUAUGUAUACAAUACAAGGAAAGGAAAAAGGUCUCUUAGGGGUACCACAAAGAAAAGAAUCAAAAUAGCUAAAAAGAGUCUGCUUCCUUUAUCAUAUAUAUGAGAUAGUAGAUCACCUUUUUUUUUUGAAGCAAAAAAAAAGGUGAUCUACUGUUGUAGUCUUCUUGACAUAUCAAGUCAAGAGGGCGAGGCUCCUAGCAAUGGGGGGAAAGGGGAGUGGGUAAGCGGGCUCCUUUCACUUGACUGGUUAGUUAGGAGUGAUCUUUUUUCUACGAUGUUCGAGAUCUUUGUCUCGCAGAGGGUGAAAUGAGAUCUUCUUGGAACAAGGUCAGAGGCGUUGGACGGACCAGUUUCUUCUGAUUCCAAUGAUAGAUGGAUGGUCAGGUCGGUAACAUAUGGAUGGAGGACUUCUACAGGGUCUUCUCGUGCGCUCGACUAGCAAGGUGGUUUUGUAGGCGAACGAAAUAAGUUUUUGGAGGCGAGCGGAGUGAGGCAAUGAAAUUGUUUAGGCGAAAGAAAGGAGAGAACGAGUGGAGUUUCGAGAAUGAGAAUCAUAUAUUUUCUCAUUUCUUUUUCGUAGUAAGAAGACACUAAGACGCACCCACUACACACCACACACUAAGACGACUAGCGUGGUCCUUCCCCCAUCGAAG
rnacentral:lncRNA from 1 species